rnacentral:tRNA from 1 species
GGAGGUUUAUGCCAAGGAAGAAGCUUCUAACUUCACUCUUUAGCGGUUUGACUCCGUUAAAAUCUC